GAAGUAGGUAGGGGAGAACGGAAUUCCUGGUGUAGCGGUGAAAUGCGCAGAUAUCAGGAGGAACACCGGUGGCGAAGGCGGUUCUCUGGGCAUUUCCUGACGCUGAGGAGCGAAAGCGUGGGGAGCGAACAGGAUUAGAUACCCUGGUAGUCCACACCGUAAACGUUGGGAGCUAGGUGUGGGACUCAUUCCACGGCGUUCCGUGCCGCAACUAACGCAUUAAGCGCCCCGCCUGGGGAGUACGGCCGCAAGGCUAAAACUCAAAGGAAUU
rnacentral:rRNA from 1 species